CGUAUGGACCAAGCGUUGUUCGGAUUUACUGGGCGUAAAGGGCGCGUAGGCGGCAAUUCAAGUCAGCUGUGAAAUCUCCGAGCUUAACUCGGAACGGUCAGCUGAUACUGCUUUGCUAGAGUGCAGAAGGGGCAAUCGGAAUUCUUGGUGUAGCGGUGAAAUGCGUAGAUAUCAAGAGGAACACCUGAGGUGAAGACGGGUUGCUGGGCUGACACUGACGCUGACAGCGCGAAAGCUAGGGUAGCAAACGGGAUUAGAUACCCCGGUAGUCCUAGCCCUAAACGAUGAAUACUUGGUGUCUGGAGUUUUUAUCCUCCGGGUGCCGUCGCUAACGUUUUAAGUAUUCCGCCUGGGGAGUACGCACGCAAGUGUG
rnacentral:rRNA from 1 species